GGAGAACUCAGAGGGCUUCCAUAGCCUUGGAAACUCAUGACUGGAGCAUAGGGAGAUUACUGAUGCCAUAGACAGGAGUGUCAAUUGGUAAAGUCAACAACAGGAGUCACUGUGCACUUACUCCUCAUGUAGGAUCUCUAUCCUUAAUGUGCUGUACAUUGAGAUUUAAUGCUAUAACGAGUACUCAAACAAUAUAUUUCACUUUGUGUUUCUAUGGGGGUGCAAACUGUUGAAAUCCUUACUUAAUGCAUACUAAACUGAUCCUCUGUAAAAAAAAAAAAAAAGAAAAUAAAAAAAAAAAAAGAAAUUAUCAAUUCCCAACUUGACUCUCACUGGGAUUAAACAUGACAAUAGGUCUGCUCUGAUUUCAUCAUCAUUUAAAAAAAUCAUCUAUUAUUUUUCACUUUAUGUUUCUGUGUGGGAGCAAACUGUUGAAAUCCAUACUUAAUGUAUACUAAGCUGAUCUUCUGUAUAUUAAGAUAAUCGAAAAUGAAUCUUGAUGUGAAUGGAAGGGGAGAGGGAGUGGGAAAGGGGAGGGUUGUGGGUGGGAGGGACGGUAUGGGGGGGAAGCCAUUGUAAUCCAUAAGUCGUACUUUGGAAAAUUAUAUGCAUUAAAUAAAAGUUUAAAAAAAAUGAACAGACACUUUAAAAAAAAAAGAAAAGAAAAAUGGAGUUCUUUCCACAGUAGAGGUGCAUAGUGAAGAGAAGUAGUCAAUGAGGUAGAAGGACAAUCAUCAGUGCGUCUCACAGUAAGGCAGGAGAAAAUUUUAAAGAGUAGGAAGCCAGUUGUUUCCAAUAUGGCAGACAGGUUGAAACAGAUAAGAACUCAAAUACACCUCUAUAAUUUGGGAUCACAGGGCACUAUUCUUAAAUAGAGCAGGUUCAGAAAUUAACUAGGACUCAAGUCCAUGUCUAGUAGUUGAAAAUGAGCUGGGGGUCAGGUGCUGUGGUGCAGUGGGUUAACACCCUGGCCUGAAGCGCCAGCAUCCCAUAUGGGCGUCAGUUUGAGACCUGGCUGCUCCGUUCUGAUCCGGCUCUCUGCUGUGGCCUGGAAGAGCGGUGGAGGAUGGCCCGAGUCCUUGGGUCCCUGCGCCCAUGUGGGAGACCUGGAAGAAGCUCCUGGCUUCAGAUUUGCACAGUUCCAGCCAUUGUGGCCAACUGGAGAAUGGACCGGCGGAUGGAGGACCUCUCUCUCUCUGACUCUCCUCUCUCUGUGUAACUCUGAUUUUCAAAUAAAUAAAUAAAUCUUUACUAAAAAAAAGAAAGAAAGAAAAUGAUCUGGUAAUGAGAAAUGACUGGGGGAUAUACUUGUUCAGUAUUUUAGGUAGGAAUUGAUGAAAAGGUGGUUUUUGAAGGUAACAGAUUUAAUGGAUGGCAUUAUAGGCUAAGUGAAAACUGAAAAUGUUUGCAAGCAAUGGAAAAGAGCCUGGAGAAGUAGAAUUUAAAGAUGUAAAUGUUAGAGAAAAAUAGGUCCUAGAAGUUUGUAUGUGAACACAGAGGAAAUGCAAGAGAAGUCUCUUCUUUGUCAGAAAUUGGAAAGAGGGAGCAGACCGGUAGAGACAAAACAUAGAUCCCAAGAACAUUGAGGUGACAGAGAAGCUAAGGAAUGUAUAAGGGCCUGAGAUUUCUUUUUUCAUAAUUUUUUAAAAUUUUAAAGGAGAGAGAGAGAAAUCUUUCAUAUUCUGGUUCAUUCCUCAAAUGCCCACAAUAGUCUGCACCCCCAACACAGGGACCAACUACUUGAGCCAUCACCCAGUACCUCCUAGGAUGUGCAUUAGCAAGAAGCUGAAAUUGGAAGUGGAUCCAGGACUUGAACCCAGGUACUCUGAUGUGGCGUAUGGAGGUCCCAAGUAGCAUAUUAACUGCAGUGCCAUCUGCCCACCACAAGGCUCCAGAUUUCUAAGCAAUAUGGUAGUUGAGGUUGCAUUAAAUCUACUAUGGGUUCCUAUAAUGAGAAAAGUAGCAGAGUACUGAGCCAAAAGGUGGCUGUGAUCAGGGUAGGGAUAAAAUACUCAUAGCAUAAACAAUUGCAACAAGUCCCAUUGGAUUUGGUGUGAGUGGAUUGAACUAAACAACUUUCAGCCCUCUUCAAAAUCUAAAAUUCUUCACCAAAUCAUACUUUAGAAGAGGAGAUAUAAUUGAGAUAGGUGGGAAAAUAGCCCUGAGGCAGCAAUGAUUUAAAACUAUAGCUCCUUUUAUGUGACCUGAAAAUGAAAACGAAGUACAUAGGCAAAUAGACACAGCUCUGCUCUCAUGAGGCUUAUGAUCUGAGGUGGACAUGGAAAUCGAACUUUAAAUUCCUGAGGAAAGACUUGGGAAGAUCAGAGUACAAGCAAUUUUGGUAUAAUAUUUCUUUCUUUCUUUCUUUCUUUCUUUCUUUCUUUCUUUCUUUCUUUCUUUCUUUCUUGAGCACCCGCUCUGUGCCAAGCACUAUGGUCAGUGUUUGGAAAACAUCUGUAAGCAGCAAUUUCUGUUCUGCUCAAGCUUAUAGCCUAGACUAAGUAAGUAUGCAACUAGAAAGAGGAAUACAUUUUUUUAAAAAAAUUUAUUUACUAUUUAUUUUAUUUAUAUGAGAAGUAGAAAGACCGAGAGAGACACACACAGAGAGUUCCCUUCUACUAGUUUACUCCCCAAAUGUCUGCUAGGGCUGAACCAGGCUGAAACCCAGAGCUGGGAACUCAGUCUGAGGCCAGGAAUGGCAGAGAUCCAAGUACCUGAGUCAUAUCUGCUGCUUUAUCGAAUCUGCAUUAGCAGGAAGCUGGUACUGGAAAAAUGAGCCGGGACCCAAACCAAGGCACUCCAACAUAGAAUGUGAGUGUCUCAAGCCCUAAGCCAGACACUCGCUCCAGAAUGCAUCUUUUAUUUUUUUAAAUGUUUGUUUGUUUUUGUUUGAGGGUCAGCGUUAUACAGAGAGAGAAGGAGAGGCAGAGAGAGAGAGGUCUUCCAUCCGCUGUUUCAUUUCCAAAUUGGCCGCAGUGGCCAGAGCUGUGCCUAUCCAAAGGCAGGAGCCGGAGGCUUCUUCCAGGUCUCCCACGUGGGUGCGGGGGCCCAGGGACUUGGGCCCUCUUCCGCUGCUUUCCCAGGCCAUAGCAGAGAGCUGAAUGGGAAGUGGAGCAGCCGGAACUCAAACCAGGGCCCAUGUGGGAUGCCAGCACUGGAAGCAGGGGCCUCAGCCACUGCGCCACAGCACCAGCCCCUAAAAUAGAAUUCAAAUCAGAUUCCAUUUCACUCAAAAACUCAAGCUGUUAUACAAAACCAUAGCAGCUCCUUGAGUUUCAGUUUACUCAUCUCAAAGGGAAAGAGUGCUACCAGAUAAUUUCUAAUAUUCCCUGUGGUCCCCAGUACUCUAAUUUUACAUGCAUACAGGCAUGAUAGCCACAGAGGAUAGGAGAAAUGAAAUAAAACAUAAUCUGCUUUACAUCAUGACUCUAUUUUUCUUAUAAUUUAAGGUCAUUUUCUGAAAUUAUAAAAGAAGUGAAUGUGUAAGCGAAAGUUACAGGAAGAUAUUACUUCAGAUGUAGAACUAAAAAGUAUAUACAUUACCUAAAUAGGCAAUAUGAAGGCUGGGUAGUCAUUCUCUGUACACUUUGCAAAAAAAAAAGUUCUUAGAAAUAUUAAAAUUAUACAAUGUGACAACAAGCAUACCAGUAAUUGAAAUUAUUAGAUAAAACCUUACUACUCAGAUUUCAAAUCUGAUGCCUUUUUAAUAACAAAUAAAGAACCUAAUCAUAAAAAAAAAAAAAAAAAUAAAUAAAUAAAUAAAGAUACAGACUGGCUGAAUGGAUUAAAGAACCAGACCCAUCUAUUUGCUUCCUACAAGAAACAUGUCUCACCAACAAAGAUAAAAGCAGACUGAAAGGUAAAGGCUGGAAAAAGAUAUUCCAUGCUAAUGGAAAGGAAAAAGGGCAGUUGUUGCCAUCCUAAUAUCAGACAAAAUAGAGUUUAACAAAAAAAAAUCUGUUAAAAGAGAUAAAGAAGGACACUUUGCAGUAUUUAAGGGAUAAAUUCAACAGGACGAUGUGACUAUAAUAUAUGUAUAUGCACCCAGUUGCAGGGCACCUGGCUAUUUCCAAGAAAUGUGAGUGGAUCUGAUGGGAAACAUUGACCCCAAAACAAUAGUAACAGAAGAAUUCAACACCCUGCUUUCAUCAAUGGACAGAUCAAACAGACAGAAAAAAAUCAAAGGAACAGCAUAUCUAAGUAGCACUAUGGACCAAAUGGACCUGAUAUCUACAGAACUUUCACCCAACAGUUGCAGAAUGCACAUUCUUCUCAUCAGCGCAUGAAACUUUCUCUGGGAUAGACCUUAUUAUAGACCAUAAAACAAGUCUCUGCAAAUUCAAAAAAAUUGAAAUCAUGCCAUGCAUCUUUUCUGACCACAAUGGAAUGAAGCUAAAAGUCUAACUCAAGAAUCUCUAGAUCAUAUGCAAAUACAUGGAGACUGAACACCAUGUUCCUGAAUGAACAGUUUGUAAUAGAAGAAAUCAAAAGAGAACUAAAAAAAUUUAUGAAAACAAAUGAAGAUGACUAUACAUCAUAUCAAAAUUUACAGGAUACAGCAAAAGCAGUGUUAAGAGGCAAGUUUUUAACAAUCUGUGGCUACAUGAAGAAAUUGGAAAGGUAGCAAACAAGUGAUUCAUCAUUGCAUCUCAGAGACCUCAAAAAACAACAAACCAAACCCCAAAUUGGUAAGAGGAAAAAAGAAUUAAAAUUAGAGAAGAAAUAAACAAAAUUGAAACAACAUCAACAACAAAAAAACAAAUACAGUAAAAUGAAGAGCUGGUUUUUGGAAAAUAUAAACAAAAUUGAUACACCACUGGUCAGCUAAACAAAAAAAAAAAAGAAAGAAAAAUGAGGCAGGAGAACUAAAUCUCUAUUUAAGUAACCCCUUUUCCAUCAGCAGUACUGUUAGGUUCAUAAUGUGAUCUGCUGCUCUUGGUGUCUUGAAGACUAAAGUUUGAGCUGUGUACAAAGUAGAUUAGAUUUUGCCACAUUAGGAGGAGUUUGUGUCACAGAGAGUUCAGCUUCAUCACAAAUCCUUGCAGGAUCCUCUUGUAUCUCCAAAGGUUUUACUCUGCAAACAGGGCUGUCAUCCUACUUGAUCCAUGAGCAAUUCUUCCCUAUCUGGGAAGGUGGUCCUUUUUUAUCAAGUGCUAUCAUGUAUGCCUUUGACCAAAUUAUAGACAUUUUCUGUCUAGGAAUGUUAUCCUUAUGGAUCACAUGCUGCUUGCAAACACUUGACUGAUGACUUAUUCUCUGUCAGGUGAAGCUGUCAUCUUUAACUGAGUACUUGACUUUGAGAGGGAUGCAUGCUGACCAGUUAGUAGCAAAGGGCCCUGCUCUAAUUGGUCACAUUAGUAGAAUCUGGUGGUGUUUUAGCCUGGAGCUUUGGAGACUAUGGUGAGGUUACAUACACAAAGAAUGAGUGGUUGAUGUAAAUCCGGUUUUGCUUUGUUUUAAGUGGUUUUACAGAUUAAUAAGUUUACAGAAUUCUUAAAGAAUACAGUUAUCUUAGCCAUAUUGCAUCAUUGUAAUCUGUUCUCUCUGCUUAUAAUUUCUGUGUUGUGUGUUCUUUAUUUGUAAAAUGCCUCACAGGGCUGUUAUGAGCAAUUAAUUAGUUAAGAAAUAUCUUUAAAAAAAGAGCAGAACUUUGCCACAGAAUGCCCAAAACCAUGCUGCCAAAAAAGAGUGUAACAAGUACAUUUUUCUAUCAUGUAGGAAAUUGUGUCUAGAGGGCAGAAUAUAUGAAAUGAAUUUUCCUGAACUUGUGACAGUGUAGAAAGGAGAGUAUAUCCAAGCAACAUGAAAAGGGAAUAACAAAGAAAAUACAUAUUUCAAAAUUCACUGACAUAUUUGAAUAUCUGUGCCAAAACUUGUUAGAUAUACAUGUGACCUUGGAAGAGUGGGAGCUAAGUAAAAUAACUUAUUUAAAGAUUUUAGGACAAUGCUUGAAGUAGACUGGAUGCUCAGCAAAUAAAUACUCAUUAUCCCCCUUCCUUCUCAAAAGUAUAUUAAGCUAAAUACAACUGAAGAUGAAGAACAUGGUCAUAUGGCACAGUAGCUUUUUUCUGGCUUGGAGUGUAUAACAAAGCCAUAGUCUCAAAUUGAAAAGGUAUACAAUUCAUUUUUUAAAAAUAUUUAUUUAUUCUAGAGAUUUAUUUAUUUGUCUAUUUGCGCACGUGCACAUGCAUGCGCAUGAUCGCAAGAGAGAGAGUGAGAGAGAGAAACAAAUAUAUUCUAUCUGUUUGUUCACUUCCCAAAUGGCCACAACAGCUGGAGCUGAGCUGAUCAGGAGCAGGGGUUAUUCUGAGUCUCCUAUGUGGGUGCAUGGGCCCAGGUCCUUGGGUCAUCUUUCGCUACUUUCCCUGGCACAUUAGCAGGGAGCUGUAUCAAAAGUGGAGCAGCCAAACUCAAACUAGUACACAUAUGGGAUGCAAGCACCGCAUACAGUCUUUAUCCUCUGCCACAAUGAUGGCCGAAUGCAAUUCACUUUUUAUUUGGGGAAAUAAUGCAUCUAAUUUUUAUAUUUAUUAAUUUUUUAUUUGACAGGUAGAGUUAUAUAUAGAGAGAUAGAGACACAGGUCUUCCUUCCAUUGGUUCACUCCUCAAAUGGCCACUAUGGCCGGCGCUGUGCCGAUCUGAAGCCAGGAGCCAGGUGCUUCCUCCUGGUCUUCCAUGGGGUGCAGGGCCCAAGGACCUGGGCCAUCCUCCACUGCCCUCCUGGGCCACAGCAGAGAGCUGGACUGGAAGAAGAGCAACCGGGACUGGAACUUGGUGCCCAUAUGGGAUGCCGGCCCUGCAGGUGGAGGAUUAACCAAGUGAGCCACACCGCCCGUCCCCUAAUUUUUAAUUUUUUGGACAGUGAAUUUAGAAGGGAUUACAAGACAUUGUAAGUAAACAUUUCUAAAAAAACAUCAAAUUCAAACUAUACUAACCUUUAUAAAGUAAAAAGAGCAUAAGCAUUGUUAUCACAAAUAUGUGAAUUUGAAUCUUAGCUCUUUCUAUCCCUGUGAUUUAUAGCUAUGUAACAAAUUCAGGAUAACCUAGGCUAUUCUGAAGCAUAAUAAAAAUUUAUUCCCUAAGCAUGAUCUACAUGACAGGCCUUUUUAGAUAGUAAUCAUUCAGUGUUUAAUGAGGCAGAAGUGAUCCUGCCUACCUCCACAGAGCUGGCAGUCUAGUUUCCUUCUAGACAUUUCCCUUGACUGAACUGAAAGGUAUAAAAAGUGAGAAAAGGAUAUUUCUUUCCAGUGAGAAUAAACUAAAAGAAAAAUGAUAGCCACAUGAAGGGAAAGUAGCAAAAGAUCACAUUUCAUUCUGCAAAGCCUGGCUUUGCCCCCUUGCACCAAGAUCCUUACUGAAGUCAAAGCAGAAUAUAUACUUGUUUACCUUUUUCCAUAACCUGUACUGUUGGACUAGAACAUUAGAUUAUGUGUGGGGUUUUUUGUUUGUUUGUUUUGGGGGAUAUUGUGAAAUUAUAUAUCCUCUUAUACCUGUACUCUAAAAGUGAGAACCUCUUAUGAGUUGAGGCAGAUAAUCAUCAAUAAAAGUAUGCCAUCAUAGGAAAACCCUGGGAAUUUGCAUUGCAUGCACUUGUGUUAAAGAUCUGCCUUCAUUUCUUAAUAUAUAUGUGGCUUUGAUAAUUUAUGUAACUUUUUUGGACCUCAUUUUCCUUUUCUAUAAAGUGAGGAUAAUAAUAGCUACACUAUAAGGUUGUUGUAAAAUCUAGAAACAAAUUAGAACUAUGCCAGAAAUGAAAUACCUCAGUAUUAAAAUUAUCAUUUCUUGUUUUUAAAAAAAUAACACUUGUUUUAGUUUUGUGACUGUCUUGCAGAAAUAUUUGCUCUCUGAGCUUGGAAUCUAAAGGAUUUGCUUCAGGAAGGUCGGUUCCUCUUUUUUGAAUUUUAUUUAAGUUAUACAAGUUUCAUACAUUUCAUAUGUACAGAUUUAGGAACAUAGUGGUACUUCCCCUCUACACUCCCUCCUGCCCACGCUCCAAUCCUUCCUCCCCUUGUAUCAUCCCCUUUGCAGCAUAUAGGAAUUAAAGUCACAGUUAAAUGCCCAAGGUGGGAGGGAGCCUACAGAUUGUUUAGUCAAAUAUCUUUGCUUUGCAGAUGAGAAAGUUAAAGAGCAAGUGACAUGCCUAACAUCACAAAAUGAGUAAGUUGUGCUUAAUAAUAGCACAAUAUCUCAGUGCAGGGAUUGCAGAGAUUUUAAUAUUGGGGCCCCUUUUUCUUACUCCAUGGAGUCACUUUAACUUGAUAUCAAAAUUGGAAACUUAAAAUGUUAUCCCAUGUGUAGUUUUGACUCAAACUAUGGGAAUAGAGGAAUAACAUGUAUGAGGUUAGAAAUUUGAAGCCAUUGAGUACUCUGUGCUAGAUAUUGACCUAGCUAUUAACUUAUUUUAUUCCAUUUAACUCUUAAAAUUUAGACAUUGCUAUUCCCCUUGCUUGUACACAAAACAAUUGAGGCACAGAAAAGUUGAAUAAUUUUUCUAGAAAUUCUGCUAGUAUGAGAUAGAUCCAUAAUUUGAUUCCAGGUAGUCUGAUGCUGAGGCUUGUGUUUUCAGUCAUUUUAUUAUACUCACUGCCUUUAGUAAUGGAGUAAAUGGUAGCUUGAUAGACUGGUCCAAAUCUUCCUGGGUCUCUCUUAAUUUUACUGCUGAAAUUCCCGAGUUCCAGUAAGCCUCUGAGUCAAAUGUAAAACAGCUAUCUGUUUAUGCUCUCCAGAUGGGCACCCAUAUGUUAUCCCAUAGAAUGAUGCAUAUGCGUGUUUUCCUAAUGCCAAAAUACUGUAUGAUUUUAGGAGACUAUUUUGGAGGUGGUUGUGGUACUGAUAUGAACACUGAACUGGAAGUCAGAAGAAUCAAGAGUGAUAUAAUCUCCAAUGAAGCAAAGAUCUCGGCCAUCUUUUACAUUACCACAUCCCUAGCAGCCUCAGUUGUCCCUGGCACCUAGAAGGCAUUCCAUAAUUAUCAGUUGAAAUUAAUACAUCUAUUCCAACUCUUCAAGGUACAUAUUAUUGUUUCCAUUUUGUAUUUGGGAAACCAAAAAGGUAAGUUAUCCAAGACACUGCACUUGCAAGUUUUGAGUGAAAAUCAAAACAAAUUCGGCUGGCGCCUUGGCUCACUAGGCUAAUCCUAUACCUGUGGCACCAGCAUCACGGAGUUCUGGUCCUGGUUGGGGUGCUGGUUCUGUCUCAGUUGCUCCUCUUCCAGUCCAGCUCUCUGCUGUGGCCUGGGAAGGCAGUGAAGGAUGGCCCAAGUGCUUGGGCCCUGCACCUGCAUUGGAGACCAGGAGGAAACACCUAGCUCCUGGCUUCGGAUCAGUGCAUCGCGCUGGCCGUAGCAGCCAUUUGGGUGGUGAACCAAUGGAAGGAAGACCUUUCUCUCUGUCUCUCUCUCACUGUCUAACUCUACCUGUCAAAAAAAAAAAAAAAAAAAAAAAAAAAAAAAAAAAAAAAAACAAGUUCACUAAAUUCAAAGCCCAUACCCUUUCAUUAAGCUAUGCAGGCUUUUCACAGUUGCUCUUGAUUUCCUAGGUUAACCUUAGAGUGAAUUAGACAUUUUUUGCCCAUAGAAGUUCAUGGUUUAGUAGAAAUGAUGACCAAAUUAAUGUUUUCUAAGAUAGUGUCAUGGGUGUCACAAGAAAGGCUAUGAAUAGAUUGCUGUGUUGUUACAAACAAGGGAUUAAGAAAAUUUUCUUGUGGAGAUAUCUUUAAAGAUAAUUUUAAGUUUUCUAGGCAAAAAGGGGUGGAAUGUAAGUCAGGAGCAGGGCACUAUAAUGUGGAUCUGGUAAUAGACAAAAGAUGUUCUGAAUGACUGUAGUGACCAUAUGGACUCCCUGUUUAAGCCCUUGCAGAGAGAUUCCAGGAUUACACUGUGGCGAGUUUAGUGACCAGAUAUAUGGACCUUAACUAUCAACUGCAUCUGCAACCAUAUUCUUAAAGGACCACAACUACAGGAAGAAGAAAUGAGGAAUUGGGAACAAACAGAGAUUGAUGGUUUAUAUUUGAUGCUGUGAAUAGCAGACACAUACAGAAACAUAUCCUUCAUUUGGUGCCCAUUGCCUGUGUUUAUGAGAUGCAUGCAGUAGUUUAAAGAGGCAGACUUCCCUGGCCUUAACGGUAGAAAUACUUCAAUGGUGAAUAUUGUCUAGGUACUAGUAGUUACUGAUGUGUGGUCAAUGACAGUGUUGUGCUUCUAUUCUAUAGUAUAAGGGUACUUCCCAGAUCAAUAUAGAGGAGAGAUACCAGAUAGUCAUUAGAAAUGUCAGAAUCGCAGUCCAGAUGUAGGGAAAGAAACUAUCAAGGAGUAGCUGAAAGGGUAAUUUGCAACUAAGUGUUUAUCCUAAUAACUUGGAAAAAAAGGCCAUGGACAAUGAAAACAAUAUUUGUUCGGUCAUCAGAUCUUUAUUGUGAGCCUAUUGUGAGGUAGGUACUGAGUUGAGCUGGCAAUAUAAAGUUUAGCAAAACCAGCCACUUGUAUGUACAUAGUUUAUAAUCUCCUAUAGGAAGUAGGCAUUAAUCAGAUAUUCACACUGAUAUAUAUAUUUAUAUGUAAAAUGGAAUUAAGGAAAAAGCAUGGGUGCUGUGAGAAGCCAUGGACUAGUGAUACAGGGAGGUUUCUCUGAAGAGGUAACCAUUAAAUUAAUGUUUGAUAUAUGCUAGAAGUUAAUUAAGUGAUGCAGAAAUUUGGCAUAGCAAAGAAUCUUUUAGGAAGUAGGAACAACAUGUUAGAGGUUACUAAUGGUGUUAGGACAGCUACAGUAACUAUCUCACAAAAAUUCCUAGGGCUCAGAGCUUAUGGAAAAAUGAUGAGAGAACAGGAGAGCAAGAGCAAGAGAGACAGAGAUUUAUAUGUCAAUCCAAGCCAGGUCCUUAAUGACUCAGGUCCAUUAUGUUUCCAGUCUCCCUCUUAAUAACUAACAUGUUUGUAUAUAGUGUGUAUUCAAGAGCUCUCUGAAGAUGGUUCCUUACCUCCUUUCUGUUGUUGUUCUAGAAAAGUAAUUGAACAUCUGCCAUAUGCAAACUGUAGCCUAUUUUGAACACUGGUCAGAGUUAGGGAAUGUAGUUGAAGAGACGAAACUCAAUGGGUCCUUGGCAGGUAAAUGACAAACCAGGAUAAAUGAGUAGACAUAGCAGAAAAACUUUUUUUUAAAAAACAAACAGCUGUUUAAUUUAAGAGAAUUUUUAAAUUUACAAAACAGAGAUUAUUAGAUUGUACAAAAAUUUCCCAUAUACACACACCCAGCUUCCCUUAUUAACUUAUUAUAUUAGUAUGAUAUAUUUGUCAGUAUUAAUAAAUCACAUCUAGCUUCCCCUAUUAUUAACAUCGAAUAUUAGUAUAAUAUAAUUAUCACAAUACAAUUCAAUAUAGUAAAUGUAAUUAUAAAAGCAUGAUUUACAUUGUGGUACUUAUUGACAGUUCUAGGAUGAAGUGUAAGAAAUUUUCCUUGAUUGCAGUUAUAAAUGUAUAUAAAGCGAAUGAUCUUUGAUGACUGCUGAAUAUUUGCAUAAAACACUAAGAGGAGACAUUCUAUACAAUUCACUUAUGUAUGACAGAAAGUAAGGUGAGUGUUAUGUGUUUUUGGAAAUAAGUUUAUUUUGGUAUCCAGAGUUGGCUUCAGAUAAGGCAGCCAGGUUACCAGUGGAAGUUGACAUGGGAGUUUAGAGAUCUGAAUUCUAAAUUCAUGGUUGAUUGCAGAACUUGAUAAUGGAGCAAUCAUACAGUAAAGUAUUAUUUAGUCAUGAAAAAGAAUGAAAUUCAGUCAUUUGAAGUAAAUUGGAUGGAACUGGAGAACAAUUUGCAAAGUUAAAUAGUGAGAAACAAAAGAAAAAUAAAACAUAUGGACCUCAUAUAUAGAAGCUAAAGAAUGUCUACCUGAACAUGGGAUAUUAAUUACUACAGCUUUAGAGGAGUGGAAGGUAUAUUAGAAGGCUAGACAAUGGGUAACAACUUGCAGUCAGAUAGAAGGAAUAAGUUCCUAAAAUGUUACAUAUCAC